GAACACAAACUUGAGUUACUUCAUAUGAACUUUAUUUCACUACAAAUCUGUUUCGUAUCAAAUUUGGAGUGAAAUAAAGUUCAUAUGAAGUAACUAA